AUGGCGUACCAUGGCCAGGACCAGAGAGUGCAGAGGGUUAUGGUACUGCCCAUCAACCUCAUCUUCAGAUACUUACAAAAUAGAUCAUGGAUUCAGUGUUCUGUGCCCCUUCAUGCCCAGGGCAGGUCAACUAUGUCCAUCUCACCAUUUCUAGGCUUAUACUUACAGUCUGAAGUAAAACAAGACCAGUUAGCCCGACAACACAAAUGGAACUUGGCAUGA
rnacentral:lncRNA from 1 species